rnacentral:misc_RNA from 1 species
GGAAGAAAAGUCGUAACAAGGUUUCCGUAGGUGAACCUGCGGAAGGAUCAUUAAAGAGUAAGGGUCUUCGGGCCCGAUCUCCAACCCUUUGUUUAACUACCAUGUUGCUUUGGCGGGCCCGUCUCACGACCGCCGGAAGUUUGGCUUCGACCAAACUUCUGGCCCGUGCCCGUCAGUGGCCCCUUCAAAUUCUUGAUCAAGUAUGAUGUCUUAGUUAAAAACUUAAUAGUUAAAACUUUCAACAACGGAUCUCUUGGUUCUG